ACGGGAGGCCGCAGUGGGGAAUAUUGGGCAAUGGGCGAAAGCCUGACCCAGCAACGCCGCGUGAAGGAAGAAGGUCUUCGGAUUGUAAACUUCUUUUAUGAGGGACGAAGGACGUGACGGUACCUCAUGAAUAAGCCACGGCUAACUACGUGCCAGCAGCCGCGGUAAUACGUAGGUGGCAAGCGUUAUCCGGAUUUACUGGGUGUAAAGGGCGCGUAGGCGGGGAUGCAAGUCAGAUGCGAAAUCUAUGGGCUUAACUCAUAAACUGCAUUUGAAACUGUAUCUCUUGAGUGCGGGAGAGGUAGACGGAAUUCCUUGUGUAGCGGUGAAAUGCGUAGAUAUAAGGAAGAACACCAGUGGCGAAGGCGGUCUACUGGACAGUAACUGACGCUGAGGAGCGAAAGCGUGGGGAGCAAACAGGAUUAGAUACCCUGGUA
rnacentral:rRNA from 1 species